CACUGGGCCGGCCGCGCGGCGCGGCGCGGGAAAGCUGUGUCGGGGCGGCCGAGGCCGCGGCGCCGGGGCUGAGUGGAGGCCGGCGUCGCGCGGGGCCGCGCACGGAGGGCCCGCGUCCGCGCCGCAGAGGGGCCGCCGCGAGACGUGCCACCGUGCAGGGACGUGAUCACUUGUAUCGACGCGUCAUGCUGCCGUCUGAAAUGGAGAGGAGCACGCGGCAGUUAAGCGAAUGCGGUAAAAACAGACAGAAUUCCUGGAACGUGUUCUCAAACGCGUCAGCUCUCCUGAGGAAAACCAAUCGCACCUCUGUCUGGAGGUCUGAAGGCCCCACACCGGCCUGUGGAUCUGGACCAGGACUUAGCCACUGUGGAGUUUGCUAGUGCAUGGAGUGAGGUAUUCAACCUCGACAAGUGGCCUCGACAUUAAAUAAAAUUUUCGGAAGGAAUUUUUCAGAUUGAGAAAUUGUUCAUUUAAAUGUUCACACUGAGAAGUGCCUGGCUGGCUCAGGCAAUAGAGCGUGUGGCUCUUGAUCUCGGGGUUGUGAGUUCAAGCCCCAGCUUGGGUGUAGAGAUUCCUUAAAAAUAAAAUCUUUGAAAAUUUUCAAUAAAUAAAAUAAAUAAAAAAUAAAUGUUCCCACUCAUUUAAUAACGACGACUCCUACCU